rnacentral:rRNA from 1 species
AUUGAACGCUGGCGGCAGGCCUAACACAUGCAAGUCGGGACAGCGGCGGACGGGAGAGUAAUGUAUGGGGAUCUGCCUGAUGGCGGGGGAUAACUACUGGAAACGGUAGCUAAUAGAGCAUACCAUCAGAUGAACCCAGAUGGGAUUAGCUAGUAGGUAAGGUAAAGGCUUACCUAGGCGACGAGCCAUAGCUGGGCUGAGAGGAUGACAAGCCACACUGGGACUGAGACACGGCCCAGACUCCUACGUGAGGCAGCAGUGGGGAAUAUUGACCAAUGGGCGCAAGCCUGAUGCAGCCAUGCCGCGUGUAUGAAUAAGGCCUUCGGGUUGUAAAGUACUUUCAGUCGGGAGGCGUUACCGACAGAAGAAGCACCGGCUAACUCCGUGCCAGCAGCCGCGGUACUUC